rnacentral:lncRNA from 1 species
UUUUUCGAUAUCAUUUACCUAUCAAACAAGUAGUCUAAAAUUGAACGGCUGAAAAUAAAAAUCUCAUGAAAAAUGAUGAUAAAAGAUUUAAAUUCAAGAUCAGAUAUAUUGAUCUUACUCUAAAUAGUGAAAAGAAUUUUCUAUAAAAUUUUCAUCAUAUUUGGAUUGUUUUACACCGUUAAACUCACAAACACACCACAUUGGCCAUUAAAAUUGUCAAUUUUGAGAUCUUUUGAUCACUAGUCAAAUGAUGUCGAAAAAAUCUGAAAUUUAGUUUCCAAAUACUUUCAAUAGUGUAGAUCAAAUUUAACGGAGCUGAUCGUCGAUUUGAAAGCCGCAUCAUCGAAAACAACUUGGUAGCACGGAGCGCUUCGUACUACCGAUAGCAUAGUAGCCAGACUCUCUCUCUAUAUAUA